GAUGAGCGCUGGCGGCGUGCCUAAUACAUGCAAGUCGAGCGAACAGACGAGGAGCUUGCUCCUCUGACGUUAGCGGCGGACGGGUGAGUAACACGUGGAUAACCUACCUAUAAGACUGGGAUAACUUCGGGAAACCGGAGCUAAUACCGGAUAAUAUAUUGAACCGCAUGGUUCAAUAGUGAAAGACGGUUUUGCUGUCACUUAUAGAUGGAUCCGCGCCGCAUUAGCUAGUUGGUAAGGUAACGGCUUACCAAGGCGACGAUGCGUAGCCGACCUGAGAGGGUGAUCGGCCACACUGGAACUGAGACACGGUCCAGACUUCUACGGGAGGCAGCAGUAGGGAAUCUUCCGCAAUGGGCGAAAGCCUGACGGAGCAACGCCGCGUGAGUGAUGAAGGUCUUCGGAUCGUAAAACUCUAUUAUUAGGGAAGAACAAAUGUGUAAGUAACUAUGCACGUCUUGACGGUACCUAAUCAGAAAGCCACGGCUAACUACGUG
rnacentral:rRNA from 1 species